AAGUUUUGUAAGCUAGCAAAUUCAAAUAUAUGCAAGUUGGCAUAUUUGCUUUUCUUGAGAUAGGCACGAUAGCACAUUUUUGCAUUUUCUUGAUGUUUUAAGCUAGCAAUUCUCGGUGAUGUUCAAGAUAGCAAUUUCUUCUCUUUUGAGAAGUGCAAUUUUUGCUUUUUUCUUGAAUUGUGCAAGCUAGCUAUCUCCCCC
rnacentral:lncRNA from 1 species